UAGGGAAUCUUCCGCAAUGGACGCAAGUCUGACGGAGCAACGCCGCGUGAGUGAAGAAGGAUUUCGGUUCGUAAAACUCUGUUGUUAGAGAAGAACAGCGCAUAGAGUAACUGUUAUGCGUGUGACGGUAUCUAACCAGAAAGCCACGGCUAACUACGUGCCAGCAGCCGCGGUAAUACGUAGGUGGCAAGCGUUGUCCGGAUUUAUUGGGCGUAAAGCGAGCGCAGGCGGACUAGCCAGUCAGUCUUAAAAGUUCGGGGCUUAACCCCGUGAUGGGAUUGAAACUACUAGUCUAGAGUAUCGGAGAGGAAAGUGGAAUUCCUAGUGUAGCGGUGAAAUGCGUAGAUAUAUGGAGGAACACCAGUGGCGAAGGCGACUCUCUGGUCUGUAACUGACGCUGAGGCUCGAAAGCGUGGGUAGCAAACAGG
rnacentral:rRNA from 1 species